CUUGCUCUCAGAUCACACACAGUCUUAUGCAAUUUUAUUAGCAACGUGCCUUUUUUAGCAGCUUGGAAUUUAAGACUAAUCCAUCCCCAAAACUGUUUCCUGGUUUCCUUUCAUUCUCAAGAGUAGAACUUCCCUCUAGUGCAGACAAUCAGAAAAUAUUAUGAACCUUCACAGGAACUUGGAAAUAGCUGAUGAUGCUCCCAUAUGAUGGCUCAGAUGCUCACUCUCAGUCUAAACAAAUUAUCUUCUGGGGGAAAAAAGACCACUGCUCUGCUAGGUCAUGGAUGACAACAUGUGUUUCCACAUCUUUUGGGAGAAAGAAGGGGAAGAGCUCUGAAUGCAGAUUGCUGCAUAUGCAAUCUUAUAUAUGCAGGUCAUGA
rnacentral:lncRNA from 1 species